UGGGGAAUAUUGCACAAUGGGCGCAAGCCUGAUGCAGCCAUGCCGCGUGUAUGAAGAAGGCCUUCGGGUUGUAAAGUACUUUCAGUCGGGAGGAAGGUGGUAAGGUUAAUAACCUUAUCAAUUGACGUUACCGACAGAAGAAGCACCGGCUAACUCCGUGCCAGCAGCCGCGGUAAUACGGAGGGUGCAAGCGUUAAUCGGAAUUACUGGGCGUAAAGCGCACGCAGGCGGUUGAUUGAGUCAGAUGUGAAAUCCCCGGGCUUAACCCGGGAUUUGCAUCUGAUACUGGUCAGCUAGAGUCUUGUAGAGGGGGGUAGAAUUCCAUGUGUAGCGGUGAAAUGCGUAGAGAUGUGGAGGAAUACCGGUGGCGAAGGCGGCCCCCUGGACAAAGACUGACGCUCAGGUGCGAAAGCGUGGGGAGCAAACAGG
rnacentral:rRNA from 1 species